rnacentral:rRNA from 1 species
CCUACGGGUGGCAGCAGUGAGGAAUAUUGGUCAAUGGCCGUAAGUCUGAACCAGCCAAGUCGCGUGAAGGAAGACGGCUCUAUGGGUUGUAAACUGCUUUUGUACGAGGAUAAAGGUAGCCACGUGUGUAUGUUUGCAUGUACCCUACGAAUAAGGAUCGGCUAACUCCGUGCCAGCAGCCGCGGUAAUACGGAGGAUUCAAGCGUUAUCCGGAUUUAUUGGGUUUAAAGGGUGCGUAGGUGGUUGUAUAAGUCAGAGGUGAAAGUUCGGGGCUCAACCAUAAAAUUGCCUCUGAUACUGUACGACUAGAGAGUGUUUGCGGUAGGCGGAAUGUGUGGUGUAGCGGUGAAAUGCAUAGAGAUCAUACAGAACACCGAUUGCGAAGGCAGCUUACUAAGCUAUAACUGACACUGAGGCACGAAAGCGUGGGGAUCAAACAGGAUUAGAUACCCGAGUAGUC